GUGAGGAAUAUUGCGCAAUGGAGGCAACUCUGACGCAGCCAUGCCGCGUGCAGGAAGAAGGCGCUACGCGUUGUAAACUGCUUUUAACCGGGAAGAAACCCCAGGACGUGUCCUGGGUUGACGGUACCGGAGGAAUAAGCACCGGCUAACUUCGUGCCAGCAGCCGCGGUAAUACGAAGGGUGCAAGCGUUAUCCGGAUUCAUUGGGUUUAAAGGGUGCGUAGGCGGAGCGUUAAGUCAGUGGUGAAAGCCUGCAGCUUAACUGUAGACUUGCCAUUGAUACUGGCGCUCUUGAGUGCGCUUGAAGUGGGCGGAAUGUGCCGUGUAGCGGUGAAAUGCUUAGAUAUGGCACAGAACACCAAUUGCGAAGGCAGCUCACUAAGGCGAUACUGACGCUGAGGCACGAAAGCGUGGGGAUCGAACAGGAUUAGAAACCCCUGUAGUCC
rnacentral:rRNA from 1 species